AAAUAAACCCGGUUGAAGUGUUAAGCCCGGAGCGCAGCGAGGACUUUAAACGAAAAACGGGGCUACCG
rnacentral:misc_RNA from 1 species